rnacentral:rRNA from 1 species
CAAAAACAUGUCCUUUUGUUUAUUUAUUUAAGGUCUGACCUGCCCAAUGAUUUAUUUAAUGGCCGCGGUAUUUUAACCGUGCUAAGGUAGCAUAAUCAUUUGUCUUUUAAUUAAAGGCUUGUAUGAAUGGUUGGACGAGAUACUUACUUUCUUUAGAUUAAUUAUUAGAAUUUAAUUUUUUAGUUAAAAAGCUUAAAUGUUUUAGUGGGACGAGAAGACCCUAUAGAUCUUGAAUAUAGUUUUGUUUUGAAGUGUUUAGGUUUAUAUUGAUCAGAAUGAGUUUUAUAUUUUGGUUGGGGCGAUUGUGGAAUUUUUUUAACUUCCAUUGAGUUUGUUCAUUGAUUAGUGAUUUGUUGAUCCAAUAAUAUUGAUUUUAAGAUUAAGGUACCUUAGGGAUAACAGCGUAAUUUUUCUGGAUAGUCCGUAUUGAUGGAGAAGUUUGCGACCUCGAUGUUGGAUUAAAGUAAGUGGUAGGCGUAGCAGUUUACUAACUAGGUCUGUUCGACCUAUAAUUCUUUACAUGAUCUGAGUUCA